rnacentral:rRNA from 1 species
GACGGGGCCCGCACAAGCGGUGGAGUAUGUGGUUUAAUUCGAUGCAACGCGAAGAACCUUACCUGGUCUUGACAUCCCGGAGACCCUUAGGAAACUAGGGGGUGCUUCCAUCUGGAAGAAUCUGGAGACAGGUGCUGCAUGGCUGUUGUCAGCUCGUGUCGUGAGAUGUUGGGUUAAGUCCCGCAACGAGCGCAACCCUUGCCUUUAGUUGCCAGCAGUUCGGCUGGGCACUCUAAAGGGACUGCCGGUGUUAAACCGGAGGAAGGUGGGGAUGACGUCAAGUCCUCAUGGCCUUUAUGACCAGGGCUACACACGUACUACAAUGGCCGAUACAAAGGGCAGCGACACUGCGAGGUGAAGCCAAUCCCGUAAAAUCGGUCUCAGUCCGGAUUGGAGUCUGCAACUCGACUCCAUGAAGUUGGAAUCGCUAGUAAUCGUGGAUCAGCAUGCCACGGUGAAUACGUUCCCGGGCCUU